ACAUGCUACCACUGACUGGAUCAAAGAACAUGAUCUCACCUGAUCUUUGAAGCUAAGCAGGGUUGGGCCUGGUUAAUACUUGGAUGGGAGACCACCCAGGAAUACCAGGUGCAGUAGGCA
rnacentral:rRNA from 1 species